AUGUUCAAUUUUCAUUUGAUUGUGGCAAAAAAAUGUAAAGUGAAAAGUUUCAGUAUUGUGUUGAAGUUGUUAAUAUUGCAUUUAAAUUAUUUCAUUUACCUAUAUAGGAUUUCAAUGAAAGACCUAUUUAUGAUCAGCGAAUUACAGCAUCAACAGCGUCAAUAAUGAGUAUAUGGGGUGGUAUAUUUGAUCCAUACAGUUGUUUUCCUUGAUUAAGUGGUUCUGUUCAUAUGAUCACUUUGGACUACACAGAGAUGCUAAUUUCAGAUGAUCCAUAUAGAUGCUCCAGGUAUUCAUUAUGAAACCUAAGCCAACAGACUCUACACGCCCCAAGAUAUUUUAGUCACCAUUAGCAGCAUAUGUUACUUGUCUCAAGAUUUUCCAUAUCUGCUUCUUGCCUCAUGCCUGGUGUCCUUAUAAUUCAACCCCAGUUUUACAUUUAGAAACUUUAACUCUACUUUUUCACUGGCUCUUCAUGUUCUAGGAGCUUUUGGGCAUUUAACAUAAUUUUCUUUUUCUUUUCUUCUCUAGUAAUUUACUUGUUUUCGUUCUUGUUUUUGGGUUUGUGUAAAUUGAAUUUAAAACAGAAGUUUGUCUGUUAGAUUGUAAAUUCUGUCUAUUAGUGGAAGACCCAUCUGCAGUUUUUUGUGGGUUUGAUUCAGGAAAGAUCUAAAUAGAUGGUGGGUGGGUGGUUGUUUGUAUGAUGGCUCGUAGGUGUUUGUAAUUAGGGAUUUUUCUCAUUGGUAUUAUAAGCUUUGGAUUAUUAAUUUGUUAGCAAUUCUUUCAUGUGGUUAUCCAACAUUGGAACUAGUGUGAAACACUCAAAUUUAUGAUCCAACAGAAGGGAAGAGGGGAAAUGUGGGGAAAAGGAACAUGUUGCAUCCAAUGAAGUUGUUUUAUGUUAUUUGAAGGGUUCAUCCUCUUAUGAGGUAACCCAAUAUACCAAACCCCACUGUGGAAGAGAGGGUUGCAGAGAGGCCUCCAGAGACGCGAAGACAUGUUAUUUGUCCCCAAGAAAUGUGAUUCUCUUGAUCUUUUGUUUGAGUCCUGAUUUUGGCUCCAAGUGUUUGAGUUAUGUCUUCAAUCAGAGCCUGGUUGCUAAAUUGGGUUAACUGAGGGAUGACAUAAGCUCCGCACAUACCGAGGCUGGUUAGCGAACCAAAUUGAUAGGCACAAUGCCAUCAAUAUGCAUUAGCUUCACUUGAUGCUUUCUUUCAAAAUCACUUUAGAUUUGGGUUCUCCUAUUUUGGAUGGGCAAGUUGCCCAAUAUAAUUUUUGAUGAAAAGAAACAGGGGUCUGGUCAAAUAAGAUAGAUUGUGUUCAGAUAGUCAACUUUGGCAUUUUUAAACUGAUAUGAAGAGAGCUUCAGGAAAUGUAAGUUGGUGGAAUGGAUAUAACACUCUAGACUCCAUAAAUUAUAUGUUGGAGUUCUUCACCCAUAGAGUAGGUAACUUAGUUUUAAUCCUAGUUCUGUCAGCAACAAGAAAAUUUUCCCGCCUUAAUGUUUAAACCAUAAGAUACAUUUUCUUUCAUGGUUUUGGGCUUGUAGCCUUCUGAGUUUUAAUUUUCAGGGUGCUGCUAGAAGAAUUAUAUGCACUACAUGAUGAAUGGCUUGUAAAUUAAAGUAGCAAUACCAACCUCAUUUUCUUCUCAUGGGCUUCACCACUUCAGUUUUUUCUAUCUGAUAUAUGUUGAGCUUUAGGUAUUGUUUAACCAUUUGCAGGAAUUGAUUUCAAGGUUAUGCUACUCACAAUUGGUGGGAAAAGAUUGAAGUUUACAAUCUAGGACACAUAAGUACCAACUAAGGAGUUGUACUUGGGUUUCAACUUCUGAUUUCAUGGGAUUCCAAGGGGUUUUCCUCCAGAUGCUUUCACUAACCACUUUUCUUGUCACAUUUUGCUGGAGUUGCCUCAUUUAUGGUUGAAAAUUUCUUUGCUCCAUUAUUCAAGUUUAGAAAAGAAUAAGAAUGCUCCUUGGUUGUCUUUAGGAGUUUCUGUGAAAUAUUGUUAGCUCAGUGAUAGUUUAUCUCAUGCAGCAGAACUGUGGAUAAAAAAUGGGGUAGUUUUAUAUGAUGUUGGGUAAGGAAAAAGUUUUAAUGCUUUUCUUUUAAAAGAAACUUGACUUUGAAUGUAAACAAUAUGAAGGAUUUAGGAAACUUUUGUACUCCGUAAAGGGAUGUCACCCCUCUUUGCAGCAUUUGAUUUGGAAUGAAAGCUUCAAAUCUCACUGUACAUUAAAUUAUAAUGCCUGUAGAAUCAUAGCAUAAUUGGGAACUAGUGAAGGUGACAUUUGUUUUCUUUUUUUUUUUCAAAGACAACUCAAGUUGUUUGCUAGCAAUAGUUUUUUUUUUGGUUGCAGCUGGACAGGAGAGGUUUGGAACAUUAACAAACACUUACUGCAGAGGUGUCCAUGGCAUUAUUCUGGUCCUCAAAAGCCUCAGGUCCAAGGGAUAUGAUAGCAGUGUUGCUGUUCUGAAGACUUUUAUGCCAUGUAUUGGAUAGUGAAAGAGCACUCACUAGAGAAGAAGGAAUGUCCCUUGCACAGAAGCAUAAUGUUCAUUUCUUGAAUGUAGUGCUAAAACUAGAGAGAAUGUGCAGCAAUGCUUUAAAGAACUCACCUCAAAGAUGCUGGAAGUACUUAGUCUAUUGGAACAAGGAUCAGUACUCAAUAGUGCCAAAAAAACAAACAUUGUUGCAGAAAGAAUUAUACCAGGCAUCUUGCUGCAGUUGUUUCUUUUAAUCAAAAUGCUUUGAAACGGAGGUAGAAUUAAAACUACAGUUCAGAAAAUAAAAUUAAGUCCAGUAAGCGUCAGCAAUAUUGACAGUCGAAUAUCAGAUCCUUCUGACACUCUCUUCAUGAUAACAUGGCAUAUAUGGUAAUUAAGUUCAUGAAUCUUUUUUUUAGCCUUUUGGUUUUGGGUUACUAGCUAUAAUGAUUUGGGAGAAUACUUUGCCACUAGGGAGAUGAGAUGAAGAGGCAUGUAAUGACUCAUUUACGUGAAUCUGUUUCUUUUAUUUUUUGUAUCUUCUCCUAAGGAGGUGCUAUAGUUAGUAUGAUAUAGGGUAGACAAAGAAAAACUAGUGAAAAAUGGUUUUGUAUCCUAAGUGCCCUGUAAUGUAUGUGUCCAAAACAUGAGAUGUAUAUACCAUGCCUUGAAACAAGAAUUUUCUUGGUGUUUGUAUUCUAUUCUCUGGAACUACAUGCUUACUUCUAAUGAAUAUAGGCCUUAUGCUGGCAUUCUUGGUUGGUGCUAUUUAUCCUGAUAGAUCCCCAACAAGAUGCAUCAGUAGUUGCAACUUCAUCUACAACAUGAUUCUAGAGUUGGUACUGGUUGUAAAAUCAAAAGGGAAGAUAGGAUGAAACAUAAGGGAGAAUUGUGCUUUAAAGUUAGUUGGGGUGGAUGGUCAGGCCAAGUUCCUCUUGUUAGUAUUUUCAACCAAUAAUAGAUUUAUAUGUAUAUAAUGAAUAUUCUAAAGUUUUUCUCUUUUAAAGAUAAUCAAUUCAAAUAUCAAGAUUUUUUUUUGACUUAUUUAAUAACAAAAUUUAACAUUCACAAAAUUAGUAAAUUAGAGCCACAAAUUUAGUCACUUUGACAAUGGUGUGGUUGUCAGGCCAAUGAUAAUGUUGGAUUGGAACUAGGGGGCAACAACAUGGGAUGAGAUGAUUAGAGAGUCCAUAGUAGUUGAAGAUUAGAAAGUAGAACAAAUAUGACAGCCAUGAAUGGUACAUUGAAACUUAUUUUUGGGUUGCAUGUAUUCAAAUAAUUUGUUGAUUGAAGGCUUAAUGAGCUAAGGUGUUUGUGGUUGUGGUGUUGCUGGAAUGCCAUACAGAAGAGGCUAAACUCAUGGCAAGAUGGUGUGUCUGCAACGAAUUGUCCAAUCCAACCUGGAUUGUGAUUGCUGUUCCCUUCCCUCAGCCAGAAGCAGAGUUUGAUCUUCUCAUUGGUGAUUGGUUUUACACGCCUACAAGGUGCUAGGUCACCCAUACAGUCCAACAACACAUCAGCAUGGGGAAUGAGAUGAGUUUCAAUUUCAGGAUUCAGAACCAUCAAAUGGUCUUGGUUGAAACAGAAGUGUCUUACACCCGUCAAAUUAUAUUGGAUUCCCUCGAUGUCCGUGUUUGCCAGUUCUAUUUGAUUCUUGUCACUGCAGAUCACAAGGAAGCAGACUAUUACAUCGUGGCAACUCCUAAAAUGCUAAGCACUACAGAUGACAACAGCCAUGUGGGUAAAGGGGCACUACACUAUGCAAACUCCAAUACACCAGUAACUUGGCCUUUGCCAAGCGGCCCUUAUCCAUCAGAAAUCAAAUAAAUUGACAUAAAACAGUUUAUUGGUUUAUGGCACGAGCCCAACAGUUUUGGAUUGACAGUGUUACAUCUGAAGCCUGCAGGACAUGAUUGUAGUGUAGUGGGGAGACUGCAGCACAAGGACUUAUUGACUUGUCAUUAAAACAGAUUAUUAUGUAGUUUCUUUCCAUGGAAACUGCAUUGAGAAAAUUCCUUAGUUUAUAAAUCUUUUAUAUUUAUUCAA